GAUGAAGAACGCAGCGAAAUGCGAUACGUAAUGUGAAUUGCAGAAUUCAGUGAAUCAUCGAAUCUUUGAACGCACAUUGCACUCUCUGGUAUUCCGGAGAGUAUGCUUGUUUGAGUAUCUGUAAACAUCUCAAAUCUCUCUUCGCUUGCGUUGAGUAGAAUUGGAUUUGAGCGAUCCCGACUCCUUCAUCAGAAAGAGGAGGGUCGCUUGAAAUGCAGGUGCAGCUGGACAUUCUUCUGAGCUAAAAGCAUAUCUAUUUAGUCCCGUCAAACGGAUUAUUACUUUUGCUUCAGCUAAUAUAAAGGUCGAAUGAUCUACCAACGCUGAUUGCAGGAAAACUUGUUCGUUUAUUCGAACUUGUAAACUCGAUCUCAAAUCAAGUAAGACUACCCGCUGAACUUAAGCAUAUCAAUAAGCGGAGGA
rnacentral:misc_RNA from 1 species